AUGAGGUUGUUCAAUGGUAAACAACAUGCUAUGGAUUCUAUUUAUGGUAAUUGGCAGGAAAGUUUUCAAUUGUUGUAUUCAUUCAAAGGUGAAGUGGAGAGGACAAGCCCAGGUAGUAUUGUAGAUAUUGAUCACCACACCGUGGAGUACACAUUCAGGGGAGUGACAAAGACCAAGGAAUGCUUUAGGAGGGUUUUUGUCUGCUUUGAGGCUUGUCGCCGGGGUUUUUUGGUAGGCUGCAGGCCUUAUUUGGCUAUUGAUACCACUUUUCUCACAGGGAGGUUUAAAGGGCAGUUAGUAGCAGCUUGUGCAGUUGAUGCGCACAGUUUUGUAUUUCCAGUUGCCUACGGUGUGCUGGAGACAGAGUCCGAGGAGAGCUGGACUUGGUUUUUGGAUAAUCUGCGCCGAGCUAUUGCACAUCCCAAUGGGUUGGUCAUUCAUACAGAUGCCUGCAAAGGUUUAGAAGUGGUGGUGGACAAUGUGUUCCCUGGAGUAGAGCAUAGGGAAUGCAUGCAUCACCUUGCUGCAAAUUUCAUGAAGAAAUUCAAAGGAAAGUUGUAUACCGACAAUUUAUGGCCAGAAUCUUUGACUUGCAGUGUGAAGAAGCACAACUACCACUUGAGGCAGUUAUACAUGAAUCCCAAAGUGAAAGAAUACUUGGAAACACACCACCUCAAGUUAUGGGCUAGAAGCCAAUUCAGUGAACUAAGCAAAGUUGACUAUGUGCACAAUAAUCUAGCAGAGUCUUUCAACUCAAUGAUCCGGAAACUA
rnacentral:rRNA from 1 species